GACGAACGCUGGCGGCGUGCCUAAUACAUGCAAGUCGAACGCAUUUUCUUUCACCGUAGCUUGCUACACCGACAGAAAAUGAGUGGCGAACGGGUGAGUAACACGUGGGUAACCUGCCCAUCAGCGGGGGAUAACACUUGGAAACAGGUGCUAAUACCGCAUAAUUCCAUUUACCGCAUGGUAGAUGGAUGAAAGGCGCUUUUGCGUCACUGAUGGAUGGACCCGCGGUGCAUUAGCUAGUUGGUGGGGUAACGGCCUACCAAGGCUGCGAUGCAUAGCCGACCUGAGAGGGUGAUCGGCCACACUGGGACUGAGACACGGCCCAGACUCCUACGGGGGGCAGCAGUAGGGAAUCUUCGGCAAUGGACGCAAGUCUGACCGAGCAACGCCGCGUGAGUGAAGAAGGGUUUCGGAUCGUAAAACUCUGUUGUUAGAGAAGAACAAGGAUGAGAGUGGAAAGUUCAUCCCUUGACGGUAUCUAACCAGAAAGCCACGGCUAACUACGUG
rnacentral:rRNA from 1 species